rnacentral:ncRNA from 2 species
UAUGUGGGCAAAACGAAAGAUUAGCGGAAGGGAAAUCGGGAAGCCGGUGAGAAUCCGGCACAGCCCCGCUACGGUGAGGGUGACGAAGGGUGCAUAGAGCCACUGGCAAGUUUGCUGGGAAGGCGCACCUGGAGGAAGACCCCAAGUCCGGAUACCGAUCCCUUCAGCUGGAAGUCU